AUUUAAAUAGUUUAUAAAAAAUAUUGAUUUGUGGAAUCAAGGAAGUUGUUUUAACUUUAAAUA
rnacentral:tRNA from 1 species